rnacentral:rRNA from 1 species
UACGUAGGGGGCAAGCGUUGUCCGGAUUUACUGGGCGUAAAGAGCGUGUAGGCGGCCACGCAGGUCCGUUGUGAAAACUGGAGGCUCAACCUCCAGCUGUCGACGGAAACCGUGUGGCUAGAGUCCGGAAGAGGAGAGUGGAAUUCCUGGUGUAGCGGUGAAAUGCGCAGAUAUCAGGAAGAACACCAAUGGCGAAGGCAGCUCUCUGGGACGGUACUGACGCUGAGACGCGAAAAGCGUGGGGAGCGAACAGG